rnacentral:rRNA from 1 species
UACGUAGGGUGCAAGCGUUGUCCGGAAUUAUUGGGCGUAAAGAGCUCGUAGGCGGUUUGUCGCGUCUGCUGUGAAAACUCGGGGCUUAACCCCGGGCCUGCAGUGGGUACGGGCAGACUAGAGUGCGGUAGGGGAGACUGGAAUUCCUGGUGUAGCGGUGAAAUGCGCAGAUAUCAGGAGGAACACCAAUGGCGAAGGCAGCUCGCUGGGACGGUACUGACGCUGAGACGCGAAAGCGUGGGGAGCAAACAGG